UUGUUUCCGCAGCAGAUAUAUUAAAAUUGGAGUGAUACAGAGAAGAUGAGCAUGGCCCCUGCGCAAGAAUGACACACAAAUUCGUGAAGCAUUCCAUAUUUAU
rnacentral:snRNA from 1 species